AAAUUGCGUCACGAGACGAUGACAAAGGUUCCCCGUCAUUCGAUCAGCACUCAUCUUUACUGUGAUAACGCCAAGUCAAGCAAAAAAAAAAGGAACAUGAGAGAAGUGGAAGGACGUUAUCGAGUCUUAUCUGCUUUCAAACAGGCGCUGUCUUUAUCAGCGGUUCAAUAUUAAUUCACGAUAAUUCGUUGCAAGGAGGAAACUCGUCUCGCAGCGCUUUGAAACCCCA